rnacentral:tRNA from 1 species
GUGGGCGUAGCUCAUUUGGCUAGAGCGCCAGGUUGUGGCCCUGGAGGUGGAGGGUUCGAUCCCCUUCGCUCACCCCA